CCCUGCAAUGAAAGAAGCAGGACAAUGGAACAUAUCCAUGGAUUUUUUGUCGACUCUAAAUUUUGACCUUUAGUUAAGCGUGCUUGGGCGAGAGUAGUACCAAGAUGGGUGACCUCCCGGGAAGUCCUCCUGUUGCAUCCU
rnacentral:rRNA from 1 species